UGACCUCGGAUCAGGUAGGAAUCCGCAGG
rnacentral:rRNA from 1 species